rnacentral:rRNA from 1 species
GGGGAAUCUUCCGCAAUGGGCGAAAGCCUGACGGAGCAACGCCGCGUGAGUGAAGAAGGUCUUCGGAUCGUAAAGCUCUGUUGUCGGGGACGAAUGUUGAGACCAAGAACAUAGGUUUCAAAUGACGGUACCUGACGAGGAAGCCACGGCUAACUACGUGCCAGCAGCCGCGGUAAUACGUAGGUGGCGAGCGUUGUCCGGAAUUAUUGGGCGUGAAGGGAGCGCAGGCGGGAAGGUAAGUCUAUCUUAAAAGUGCGGGGCUCAACCCCGUGAGGGGAUAGAAACUAUCAUUCUUGAGUGCAGGAGAGGAAAGCGGAAUUCCUAGUGUAGCGGUGAAAUGCGUAGAUAUUAGGAGGAACACCAGUGGCGAAGGCGGCUUUCUGGACUGUAACUGACGCUGAGGCUCGAAAGCCAGGGGAGCGAAC